UGCAGGAGAGACUUCAGAAGGUGUCCAGGAGAGACUUCAGAAUGCUCUGGGGUCUGCUCUGCUCUUUCUCGGCUUUAUUAUGGAGAAUAAAGUCUAUUUUCUGAUAUUCAAAACCUCUGGUCUGAUAAUUUGUAAUUAAUGAGAAGUCAAUAUUUACGACAAAUGCCGCCCAAAAUCGUGGGGCUGGACAGAGACGGACGGGUGACACUGGACAUGCUGGGGCUUGGAGGAAAAACACAAAUAUGUGGCCACGAUAAAAAACGAAAUGGCUGAAAGAGAUGAAGAUGAUCCAUCAAGACCAACGCUCAAUGAAAUAUGUGAAAAUAAUAAACUUAAUGGGAUUAAUUUGCUAACAAGUGCAUUGGUGAGUCAUGGCAUGGAAACUGACAGAAACAGGCAUCUAACACUGCAUCGCAUGAACUGCUAUUGGGUCGACCCUUGAAAGAAACCUUGCAAGAAACAGCAUGACCCUUGCAAGAAACCACAGGAAACUUUGCAUAAAACCUGGCAUAUAAUCUCACCUAUAACCUUGCAUAAACCUCUUGGAAUGGUUUGCAAAGAUGUCUAAUGCAGUAGGGACUUUAAUAAAGAAACAAAUAAUUGCCAUGUGCAAAGCGAUAUCUGUGCAGGAAACCAGAAAGGAGCCAUGUGAGAGAGCAGUGAUACAAGGUCCAAUUGGUCUAGGUGAUUGAGUCUAUCUGUGGAUGCUCUGGAGAGCUCAGAAGGAAAGGACCAUCUCUGGAUGAGGGCAAAUCCAACAGCUGCCAAAGUGGAUGCCAUGGAUGAGGUACCAAUGCCUCAAAGGAGCGAAAGGGAACAACUCCAGUAAGGGAAAGCUGACUGGAAACAGAGGAGCCUGAAUAUUCCAAAGCUCUGAGCUACUAAAUGCAACGUGUGGAAGCAAGAGGUUAUCAGAGCAAAGAAAAGAGUGAUUCUGAUAAUGUGCCUGAGUACCACAUACAGCAGUGCCACAAGUCAAGGGAUGAUAAAUGCACAACUGCAGAUUUCAGAACUCAGACUCUUAACCACACAUCUCCAUAAACAUCUUUUCAAAGCUUAAUGAAGAUGCUGAUAGCUUACAAGAAGAGAAACAAGGAUGAGCAAAGAUCAAGAUCAACAUUUGAUGC